rnacentral:rRNA from 1 species
UACGGAGGGAGCUAGCGUUGUUCGGAAUUACUGGGCGUAAAGCGCGCGUAGGCGGCUUUGUAAGUUAGAGGUGAAAGCCUGGAGCUCAACUUCAGAAUUGCCUUUAAGACUGCAUCGCUUGAAUCCGGGAGAGGUGAGUGGAAUUCCUAGUGUAGAGGUGAAAUUCGUAGAUAUUAGGAAGAACACCGGUGGCGAAGGCGGCCCACUGGUCCGGUACUGACGCUGAGGUGCGAAAGCGUGGGGAGCAAACAGG